rnacentral:tRNA from 14 species
AGCUCAGUUAUGAGAGCGUCAGACUGAAGAUCUGAAAGCCCUUUGUUCGAUUCAC